AGGGAACAUCUGAGGCAAC
rnacentral:miRNA from 1 species